rnacentral:rRNA from 1 species
GGUUAAGCGACUAAGCGUACACGGUGGAUGCCCUGGCAGUCAGAGGCGAUGAAGGACGUGCUAAUCUGCGAUAAGCGUCGGUAAGGUGAUAUGAACCGUUAUAACCGGCGAUUUCCGAAUGGGGAAACCCAGUGUGAUUCGUCACACUAUCAUUAACUGAAUCCAUAGGUUAAUGAGGCGAACCGGGGGAACUGAAACAUCUAAGUACCCCGAGGAAAAGAAAUCAACCGAGAUUCCCCCAGUAGCGGCGAGCGAACGGGGAGCAGCCCAGAGCCUGAAUCAGUGUGUGUGUUAGUGGAAGCGUCUGGAAAGGCGCGCGAU